rnacentral:rRNA from 1 species
UACGUAGGCAGCAAGCGUUGUUCGGAGUUACUGGGCGUAAAGGGUGUGUAGGCGGUUCUUUAAGUUUGGUGUGAAAUCUCCCGGCUCAACUGGGAGGGUGCGCCGAAUACUGAGGGACUAGAGUACGGGAGAGGAAAGUGGAAUUCCUGGCGUAGCGGUGAAAUGCGUAGAUAUCAGGAGGAACACCGGUGGUGUAGACGGCUUUCUGGACCGUAACUGACGCUGAAACACGAAAGCGUGGGGAGCAAACAGG